rnacentral:rRNA from 1 species
GACAGAGGGUGCAAACGUUGCUCGGAAUCACUGGGCGUAAAGGGCGUGUAGGCGGGACAGCAAGUCGGGCGUGAAAUCCCUGGGCUCAACCCAGGAACUGCACUCGAAACUACUGUUCUUGAGUGUCGGAGAGGAAAGCGGAAUUCCUGGUGUAGAGGUGAAAUUCGUAGAUAUCAGGAGGAACGCCAGUGGCGAAGGCGGCUUUCUGGACGAUAACUGACGCUGAGGCGCGAAAGCGUGGGGGAUCAAAACAGG